rnacentral:rRNA from 1 species
GAUCCUGAGUACGGCGGAACACGUGAAAUUCCGUCGGAAUCCGGGAGGACCAUCUCCCAAGGCUAAAUACUCCCUAGUGACCGAUAGUGAACCAGUACCGUGAGGGAAAGGUGAAAAGCACCCCGGAAGGGGAGUGAAACAGUUCCUGAAACCGUGUGCCUACAAGUAGUUAGAGCCCGUUAAUGGGUGAUAGCGUGCCUUUUGUAGAAUGAACCGGCGAGUUACGAUUUGUUGCAAGGUUAAGCGGAAAAAGCGGAGCCGUAGCGAAAGCGAGUCUGAAUAGGGCGCAUAAGUAACAGGUCGUAGACCCGAAACCAGGUGAUCUACCCAUGUCCAGGAUGAAGGUAAGGUAAUACUUACUGGAGGUCCGAACCCACGCACGUUGAAAAGUGCGGGGAUGAGGUGUGGGUAGCGGAGAAAUUCCAAUCGAACUUGGAGAUAGCUGGUUCUCUCCGAAAUAGCUUUAGGGCUAGCCUCGAGGUAAAGAGUCAUGGAGGUAGAGCACUGUUUGGACUAGGGGCCCUUCUCGGGUUACCGAAUUCAGAUAAACUCCGAAUGCCAUGUACUUAUACUCGGGAGUCAGACUGCGAGUGAUAAGAUCCGUAGUCGAAAGGGAAACAGCCCAGACCACCAGUUAAGGUCCCCAAAUAUAUGUUAAGUGGAAAAGGAUGUGGGGUUGCUUAGACAACCAGGAUGUUGGCUUAGAAGCAGCCACCAUUGAAAGAGUGCGUAAUAGCUCACUGGUCGAGUGACCCCGCGCCGAAAAUGUACCGGGGCUAAACAUAUUACCGAAACUGUGGAUGAACCUCUUUAGAGGUUCGUGGUAGGAGAGCGUUCUAAGGGCGGUGAAGUCAGACCGGAAGGACUGGUGGAGCGCUUAGAAGUGAGAAUGCCGGUAUGAGUAGCGAAAGAAGGGUGAGAAUCCCUUCCACCGAAUAUCUAAGGUUUCCUGAGGAAGGCUCGUCCGCUCAGGGUUAGUCGGGACCUAAGCCGAGGCCGAUAGGCGUAGGCGAUGGACAACAGGUAGAGAUUCCUGUACCAGUGCUAAUUGUUUAACCGAUGGGGUGACACAGAAGGAUAGGGAAUCGCACGAAUGGAAAUGUGCGUCCAAGCAGUGAGUGUGAG